AAGUUGAAGCUGAAAAUAGGUGUGCGGAGAUUUGAGGGUGUUUUAUAUUUUAUUACAGAUUAGGUUCGCGCACAGAGAAAGUCAGCCAGAUAAGUCUGCUUUUAUAUCACAGAGGCACAAAUAUGUGAUUAAUGCUGUCCUUGAAAAGUGAGCAUAUGUGAUACAAAUGUUUUAUGUAAGAAAAAAGUAAACUUCAAAAUCUAGCGAAGGAAUGAAUGAUAAAGAUUAAUAUUUUCAGGUAAUUUCAUUUGAUAUUUCUGUUUCAAUUAGAAAUAGCACUUAACUUUAUUGCAAGUGUGCAUUUCAACAGCUAGUUUUAAUCCGACUGAACUUCAAUCUCUAAAAAAUGAAAUUGUCAACUGCUCUUAUUCUGAUGACUCUCUUCAUUGUUGUUUCAGUUGCAGUCGUUGAGGUAGUUGCAGAUCUUGGUUGUCCUCACGAAAUACACGAUUGUGAUUACCAUUGUUCUGGACAUGGACGUUGCGAUGGAAAUGAUUGCGUUUGUUAUCAUCCCGAAGAGUAAAGUGACUAAUUUAAGGCAAUAGUUCUGAAUGACACAAAAUAAUUUCUUUGAAAAAAUUUUGCCAAAAAUUAUUGUCCUCUUCUUUUUAUUAUGAAUUCCAAUUCUUAACAUUGUUAAUUAACAACAUUUUUAAAUAUAAGUUUGUUUUUUCCAAUAGAGUUGAUUAAAUAUUCAUGAUUGCAUAAGUUUCUAUUAUCAAUAACACAUGAAAAUAAAGCAUGAUUGUUAAAGAGAA
rnacentral:lncRNA from 1 species